rnacentral:sRNA from 1 species
GGCCUGCUGCGGGCAGAUGAAGUGGAUGUGCGUGUCGAUGCCGCCGGCGGUCAGGAUCUUGCCUUCCCCGGCGACCACUUCGGUGGUGACUCCCACGACCAUCUGCGGGUCGACUUGGGCCAUCACGUCGGGGUUGCCGGCCUUGCCGAUACCCGAGAUCCGCCCGUCCUUGAUCCCGAUGUCGGCCUUGUAGAUGCCCGUGAAGUCGACGACCAGUGCGUUGGUGAUCAGCAGGUCCAGCGCGUCGGCCUGUGAGACACCGGCGGCCUGCCCCAUGCCCUCCCGC